GCUGAAGGGAUAUGGAGAAUUCCGACAGCUCAUAGCUUUGAGUCUGCCUGUUCCCUGCCUCACAACUAACCCCAGGGGUAGGGAACUGAUUAGAGGCAAUUCUGAGGGACCGAAUUAAUCUGCGUUUGGAGAGGCAGAGAUUAAUCAAGAACAACCAGCUCCCAGUGUUCUGGUGGGUAUUGUGUGCUGUGAGCAUUACAUCAAAACAGCAUUGCCUGGAAGCCGAAAGAUUCUAAACAGUAGCUAACUGCUUGAUGUGCGCUAAUCCAGAAGGUGAAUGGGUGCAGGAUCGAGCAAUAGAACGCAGAGGGGAUGCAGUGAAAGAAGCCAGAGGGAGAUCCGCUGUGCUUUUCAAUAAUGUCACUUGACAAUAAUCACUAAAUAUUCAGACACUUUCUGCGAUGAGCGGCUGUCCAUCUCACUGAAUUUCAAAAUCAGAAGAGUUAUGUUUUUGUGAAUUUCCAGGGCACAGCCUCCAGAUCCAAUUUCUUGCUGACUGUUUCAUGUUGCUCGAUUAAUACCUGAAGUACCCCAGACAGCUCCCAGUCACUCAACACCACCACUGCGUCAGUGCCCAAUCAAAUGAUUCUGCAAACUCUUUUUGUUUAAAGGUGCAGUUUCUCUCUGACUAACUGAUAUUCAAGGACCGUUUUUAUCUCCAGGUUCAAGUUAGGUGCCUGGGUUGUACUCACCUGGUUCCACUCAGAACUGUCUUCCUGCACCAUAAUCACUGGUGUCUCCCAAAAAUUGAUCCUUGCCCCACUCCCCUUUCCCUACAGUGUCCCUCUGCAACAUCAAAUGAAAUAUCAGGAUACAUAGGUAAGCGUACCUCAGCACCAGCUCAGUGCACGUUUCCUAUGGAUUAGAACUGGUUCAAUUAUAAAUUGGGAAGCCAACCUCUUCAGCCGCCAUUACAAACUCUGCCUCUGAGCCAUGGGCAUCAUCGGUCUGUGUGGUACCUAUCUGAGCUCAAACCUCUGACACCAUACUCUUUGCUCAUCAACCUGUAGCAACUCCAGGAGAGCACCAAAUCCAGCCAGGCCUCAGUUCGAAUUGCAGCGAAACCUGAUACUUUGGCCCAGUGUUUUGGAUAUUGGCUUGAAACCUGCUAUACAUGACUCAGAGUUGGUUAUACCACGGUGAUGCCUCCAACUGUUAUAGCUGUUACAGAAAUAAAGUUGUUGUGAAGCAAAAGCUGAGAAGGAUGAGCUUUCUGGCUAGACUCACAACUUGAGGACAAGGAAUAGAAUAGCAGAAGUGACCAGUUAAUCCUUCACCAGGACCUGGAUUAUUCAGAGGCUGAGAUUGGAGGAAGUGCCCUCCCUCACUUCACCCAUCCACACACGCCACUCUGUUCAUCCCACAAAGUGCUCACUCCCCUCUCUUCAGAACAUUGACAGUGCUUGCAAAAGGGACACAGGCAGCUGAUCACACCUCUGCCCCACCAUUCACUGAAGACAACCUUUAUGAUGAACUGACUUCCAGAUACUGUGUUCACGUCAUUGUUACCCUCAGACAUAACCUCUGAUAGAGUGCCUUUGGAGCAGAGAAGGUUGAAGGGGGCCUGAUAGAAUUGUGUAAGAUUAUGAGGGGCAUGGAGAGGGUGGAAAAAACCCAGCUGUUCCUCUUGGUUGAAGGGUUAGUUAACAAAGGGCACCAUUUUAAAGUGAAAGGCAGGAGGUUUAGAGGGGAUUUGAACAAAAUAUUUUUAACACUUAGGGUAGUGGGGGUCUGGAAUGAACUGCCUGGGAGGCUGGUUGAGGUGGAAAACCUCACAACCUUUACAAAGUACUUACAUGAACACGAAGUUUUAUAACAUUUAUGCUGAUGAGCCUAAUGUGAGGAAGUGGGACUACAGUAGGUGGUUGCAUUUGUUUUUAGUGGUACAGACUCAAUGGCAAAAGGGACAUUUUUGUGCUGUAUAGAUCGGUGUUGCCGUGUUCCGCUUUCUCCCCUUUGAAUAUUUUCAAGAAGGAUCUAAAUCUAUGUUUUAACCGGAACCACUUUCUGUGGCAGAGAAUUCCACAGGCUUACCACACUCUAGCCCAAAAUGGCCUAGACUAUGACCUUUAGACUAUGACCCUUGGGUCUGGAUUCCUCAGUCAAUAGGAAUUUAUAAAUUUCUAUGAGAUCCCCCUCAAUGUUCUAAAUUCCAGUGAAUACAAACCAAACUGAUCCAGCCUGACUUCAUACAUCAGUUCUGCCACCCCAGAAGUCAGUCCCUCCAUAGUCAGAACAUCUUCCCCUGAUAAGGAGACCAAAGCAGCAGAGAAUAUUUGGCAUAUUUGUGAAGAUUUUAUAUAUUUUUAAGGCAGAGAUGUAUAGAUUGGUGUUAAGCAAGGGGUUGGCAGGAAUGUGGAUUGGAGGUUAUAGUCAGAUCAGACAUGACUUUAUCAAAAGGCACAGCAGGUUCGACCGAGAUGGCUAUUAAGUCUUUAAUCAGUUAGAAUGGAGAUGCAGACUUCGAUUGAUUAAAAUGUAAAUCCCAGAAUAUCUUUCAAGUCAUUGACACCAUGAUAACUUCAGGCUUUAUCAGAAAAAAGGUGAUACAUUAGGUCAGAAAAUGCAUUUGAGAUAAGAGGCCACAUUUCAAGCCUGUUUGUACGUGAUCACGGAGCCAGACUGGCUUUACUUCCAAAGUAGGAAUUUAUAAAAUGCCACAUUGACUGUCUCCAGAUUGUGUGCUUUUUGAACAAAAUAGAACGUUUCUGCAAAUUCAAUAGCCAUCCAGAUUUGUUCAAUACAUUCACUGUAUGACCCUUUGAUCUCUUACUACAAAUUCUGUGCCUGAUGUAUUCUCUUUCACUAGCUGCCUGAGGAAGGAACAGGGGUUCUGAAAGCUGGUGGUUUUAAAUAAACCUG